GACGAACGCUGGCGGCGUGCCUAAUACAUGCAAGUAGGACGCAGUUGCGAACGGGUGAGUAACGCGUAGGUAACUACCUAUUAGCGGGGGAUAACUAUUGGAAACGAUAGCUAAUACCGCAUACUAGAAGAUGGAACUGCGUUGUAUUCGAUAGUAGGUCGGGUCAUGGCUUACCUGUGCAACGAUACAUAGUCGACCUGAGAGGGGGACCGGACACAAGGGGACUGAUAGACGGCCCAGACUCCGACGGGAGGGAGAAGUAGGGAAGCUGCGGCAAUGGGGGGAACCCUGACCGAGCAACGCCGCGUGAGUGAAGAAGGUGUUCGGAGCGUAAAGCUCUGAUGGUAAGUAAGCGUGACUUAACCAGAAAGGGACGGCUAACGACGUGGCAGCAGCCGCGGUAAUAC
rnacentral:rRNA from 1 species